rnacentral:lncRNA from 1 species
UUUCUUCUCGUGUAUCUUGCAUUUUGAACUUCAGAGUUCAGCGUAUCAUCUUAGGAAGACACAUUGACUCUCAGCUCUUGCACUGAGGAUUCAUGGCAGCUUUAGAACACCAGUGUGAUAUGGCUCCAGACUUCACUAGUCUACUAAUUUGAAUGCCCUACUGGGAAUCAGAAGCUGUAAACUAUCUAGAGAUGUAACUUCAUGCUGGGAUACAUUACCAAAAAGCAGUGAUACCUUAUCUCUGAGCAAGGCAUCUUCUACGCUUCAGCUGUGAAUAUAGGCAAGGUAAGGCUUUUUUAAGGAAAACUACACUAGAAACAAAACAGAAUUUCCUUUAUAUUUUCUUACAUUUAAGACAACCACUGCCUUAAAAUA